CAGCCGCCGCGGUAAUACCGGCGGCCCGAGUGGCGGUCACUAUUAUUGGGCUUAAAGCGUCCGUAGCCGGGUUGGGAAGUCCUCCGGGAAAUCUGGCCGCUUAACGGUCAGAAUGCCGGAGGAUACUCCCAGCCUAGGGAGCGGGGGAGGCCGAGGGGAUUCCCGGAGUAGGGGUGAAAUCCUAUAAUCCCGGGAGGACCACCUGUGGCGAAGGCGCUCGGCUGGAACGCGUCCGACGGUGAGGGACGAAGGCCAGGGGAGCAAACCGGAUUAGAUACCCGGGUAGUCCUGGCUGUAAACGAUGCGGACUUUGUGUCGGACAAGCUAUGAGCUUGUCCGGUGCCGGAGGGAAACCGUUAAGUCCGCCGCCUGGGGAGUACGGCCGCAAGGCUGAAACUUAAAGGAAUUGGCGGG
rnacentral:rRNA from 1 species